rnacentral:rRNA from 1 species
AGAGGGUGAGAGCCCCGUACGGUUGGACGCCUAGCCUCUGUAUAGCUCCUUCGACGAGUCGAGUAGUUUGGGAAUGCUGCUCUAAAUGGGAGGUAAAUUUCUUCUAAAGCUAAAUACCGGCCAGAGACCGAUAGCGCACAAGUAGAGUGAUCGAAAGAUGAAAAGCACUUUGAAAAGAGGGUUAAAUAGCACGUGAAAUUGUUGAAAGGGAAGCGCUUGUGACCAGACUUUUUCUAGGCGGAUCAUCCGGCGUUCUCGCCGGUGCACUUCGCCUAGUCUAGGCCAGCGUCGAUUUUCGUAGGGGGAUAAAGGUUUAGGGAAUGUGACUCCUCUCGGGGAGUGUUAUAGCCCUUUGCGUAAUACCCCUAUGGGGAUCGAGGUUCGCGCUCUGCAAGGACGCUGGCAUAAUGGUCAUCAGUGACCCGUCUUGAAACACGGACCAAGGAGUCGAACAUUUGUGCGAGUGUUUGGGUGUUAAACCCUCACGCGUAAUGAAAGUGAACGGAGGUGAGAGCCCUUUAGGGUGCAUCAUCGACCGAUCCUGAUGUCUUCGGAUGGAUUUGAGUAAGAGCAUAACUGUUCGGACCCGAAAGAUGGUGAACUAUGCGUGGAUAGGGUGAAGCCAGAGGAAACUCUGGUGGAGGCUCGCAGCGGUUCUGACGUGCAAAUCGAUCGUCAAAUCUGCGCAUGGGGGCGAAAGACUAAUCGAACCAUUAAAGAAUUACACCGGUAACCGAAUUACUAGGUGGUUGAGAGGCCCCUCGGGAGGGGGCGCCUAGGCCGAGCUACCCGGGAGCUACCCUGGAGCACCGCGUGGCAGGCCGACACCGCUAAAUUGCGGGGAACUCCUAUACAAGGCCACGGGCUACCGCUGGGCGCUGAAAGGCGUCUCCGGCACCUAGAGUAACGCUCUGGGGUAUGGUAAUAACGCCCGUGGUAUCGGAUGACCUGCAGCCAACCCCGCAAGCUAGGGGAGAGUUCACUGACUAGACAGUGGUGGGUUCCGCCGGGGCGGGGCUUAAGAUAUA